rnacentral:lncRNA from 10 species
AAUUGGCUUUGGGAGCUGGGCGCAGUGACUCAUGCCUGUAAUCCCAGCACUUUGGGAGGCUGGGGCAGGUGGAUCACUUGAGGUCAGGAGGUUGAGACCAGCCUGGCCAAGACGGUGAAACCCCGUGCCUACAAAAAAUUAGCCGGGUUUGGUGACACGGCCUGUAGUCUUAGCUACUCGGGAGGCUGAGGCAGGAGAAUCGCUUGAGCCUGGGAGACAGGUUGCAGUAAGCCAAGAUCACGCCACUGCACUCCAGCUUGAGUGACAGAGUGAGACCCUGUCUCAAAAAAAAAAGGCUUUAGAAGGCUUUAUUGGAUGAAAUGGCUGAAACUUGGAUACAGAAUGUCUAGUAUUAGACACCUAAAAAUCUGGAUUCUUUUUGGUUGUUGUUUUGAGAUGGAGUUUUGCUCUUUCGCCCAAGCUGGAGUGAAGUGGCGCGACCUUGGCUCACUGCAACAUCCACCCCCAGGUUCGAGCGAUUCUCCUUCCUCAGCCUCCUGAGUAGCUGGGAUUAUAAGUGCCCACCACCACGCCCAGCUAAUUUUUGUAUCUUUAGUAGAGAUGGGGUUUCGCCAUGUAGGCCAGGCUGGUCUCAAACUCCUGACCUCAGGUGAUCCACCCACUAUGGCCUCCCAAAGUGCUAGGAUUACAGAUGUGAGCCACCGUGCCUGGCCAGAAAAUCUGGAUUCUUAUUCCUAGUUCUUCAUUUCUGUCACAUGCACUUAGUUGACAUUACAUCUACAUAUAUUAGCUUUUUCCUACAUGAGCCAUCUAUUUACUUAGUAACCAGUGUUCUUAAUGAAGUAUUUAGUCUUGGGUUUCUUGUAAAAUUUCUCUGCAUUCCUUAGACAGUGUACUAUACAUGAAAUAUUCUUGUUGACCUAGUAAUUUAUAUUAUUCCAUUUAAUUCUUAAACCUAUGGCCUUUUUAUUGAGCACACUCUUAAAUCAUUAUUUGGCUUGUAAACAUUCAUCUGAAGUGUGGCUACAAUCCUCUUUAAAUAAUCUAGGAAAAAAGAAAGAUAAAGCUUACAUUUUCACAGUUUUGGCUCUUAAACACAUUCCACAAAUGCCAUUAAGAAUUUAUUUUGUUUUAGGCCAGUCAUGGUGGCUCAUGCCUGUAAUCCCAGCAAUUUGGGAGGCUGAGGCAAGAACUGCUUGAGCCCAGGAGUUUGAGACUAGCCUGGGCAACAUAGCAAGACCCUGUCUCUACCAAAAAAAAAAAAGUUUAUUUUGUUUUAGAGUCAUUUAAUGUGUUUUUAUGCACAAUAAUAGUGGGAGGUUGUUUUGUUGCAUUUGUUUGUUUGUUUUGUUUUGUUUUGUUUUGCUUUCCAUGUGGGAAAAGUUAACAUUGGAACUGUUUCUAGUAAAAGAUUUUUUUCAGGCUGGGCACGGUGGCUCAUGCCUGUAAUCCCAACACUUUGGGAGACCGAGGGAGCUGGAUCACCUGAGGUCAGGAGUUCGAGACCAGCCUGGCCAACAUGGAAAAACUCCAUCUCCACUAAAAAUACAAAAGUAGCCUGGUGUGGUGGCACAUGCCUGUAAUCCCAGCUACUUGGGAAGCUGAGGCAGGAGAAUCACUUGAACCUGGGAGGUGGAGGUUGCAGUGAGCCAAGAUCACGCCAUUGCACUCCAGCCUGGGCAACAAGAGUGAAACUCCGUCUCAAAAAAAAAAAAAAAAAGAUGUUUUUCAUUUUUUUCAUGUUAUCUAUCCAAGCACUGUUCCAUGGUCAGCAAGUCAUAUUUCAUAAUGUGGAUUUUCCAAAAUAAUUAUUGAAUACAGCUAUUCUAUGGCUACUUUUAGUGUUUUUGUGGUAUGUGGUGUGGGAGUGUUUAUGGAAUUACCAGUAUCUUAAAUUUUCAAAGGAACCUUGGAAGUCUAUCACUCUAAAUGAAAGUCUGUCACUCUACAUGAAUUAUGUGCUCAAAUUUGACCAACUCAGUUUAAGACACAAAACAGUAAUUUGAAGAAGGAAAAAUGAAGAGAGUUUCUAGUUUAAUGGGUUAAAUUUUUGUUGUUGCAAUAGUAAGUUUAGUCUUCUUAUAAUAUUUCUAAAUGAAAAAUCAUAGGUAUUUGUUACCAUGUGUGAAGAUUAGUUUGUUAAAAGCAAAAGUGGUCGUGUGAUAUGCUAAAUGUUAAUUACUGAUUUUAUAUGUUUAAAUCACGCCAAACAAAUUAUGUCUGUGCCAUCCAGGGUCUGUUGUUAAUCUUUUUCUGAGUACUUGGAUUGGGAUAAAGGGCUUGUACUAUGCACUUUUUAUUAAUGAAUAAAUAGAAAACGUUAGU